GGAGAAGCAGGGGAUCGCAAGACCUUGCGCUUUUGGAGCGGCCGAUGCCUGAUUAGCUUGUUGGUGAGGUAAAAGCUCACCAAGGCUCCGAUCAGUAGCUGGUCUGAGAGGACGACCAGCCACACUGGGACUGAGACACGGCCCAGACUCCUACGGGAGGCAGCAGUGGGGAAUUUUGGACAAUGGGGGCAACCCUGAUCCAGCCAUGCCGCGUGAGUGAAGAAGGCCUUCGGGUUGUAAAGCUCUUUCAGCCGGAACGAAACGGUCACGGUUAAUACCCGUGACUACUGACGGUACCGGAAGAAGAAGCACCGGCUAACUACGUGCCAGCAGCCGCGGUAAUACGUAGGGUGCGAGCGUUAAUCGGAAUUACUGGGCGUAAAGCGUGCGCAGGCGGUUUUGUAAGUCAGAUGUGAAAUCCCCGGGCUUAACCUGGGAACUGCGUUUGAAACUACAAGGCUAG
rnacentral:rRNA from 1 species